ACGAACGCUGGCGGCACGCUUAACACAUGCAAGUCGAACGAGAGAAGAGGAGCUUGCUUUUCUGAUCUAGUGGCGGACGGGUGAGUAACACGUGAGCAAUCUGCCUUUCAGAGGGGGAUACCGAUUGGAAACGAUCGUUAAUACCGCAUAACAUAAUUGAACCGCAUGAUUUGAUUAUCAAAGAUUUAUCGCUGAAAGAUGAGCUCGCGUCUGAUUAGCUAGUUGGUAAGGUAACGGCUUACCAAGGCGACGAUCAGUAGCCGGACUGAGAGGUUGAUCGGCCACAUUGGGACUGAGACACGGCCCAGACUCCUACGGGAGGCAGCAGUGGGGAAUAUUGCACAAUGGAGGAAACUCUGAUGCAGCGAUGCCGCGUGAGGGAAGAAGGUUUUAGGAUUGUAAACCUCUGUCUUCGGGGACGAAAAAAGACGGUACCUGAGGAGGAAGCUCCGGCUAACUACGUGCCAGCAGCCGCGGUAAUACGUAGGGAGCGAGCGUUGUCCGGAAUUACUGGGUGUAAAGGGAGCGUAGGCGGGAUCGCAAGUCAGAUGUGAAAACUAUGGGCUUAACCCAUAAACUGCAUUUGAAACUGUGGUUCUUGAGUGAAGUAGAGGUAAGCGGAAUUCCUAGUGUAGCGGUGAAAUGCGUAGAUAUUAGGAGGAACAUCAGUGGCGAAGGCGGCUUACUGGGCUUUAACUGACGCUGAGGCUCGAAAGCGUGGGGAGCAAACAGGAUUAGAUACCCUGGUAGUCCACGCCGUAAACGAUGAUUACUAGGUGUGGGGGGACUGACCCCUUCCGUGCCGCAGCAAACGCAAUAAGUAAUCCACCUGGGGAGUACGACCGCAAGGUUGAAACUCAAAGGAAUUGACGGGGGCCCGCACAAGCAGUGGAGUAUGUGGAUUAAUUCGAAGCAACGCGAAGAACCUUACCAGGUCUUGACAUCGUAUGCAUAGCUCAGAGAUGAGUGAAAUCUCUUCGGAGACAUAUAGACAGGUGGUGCAUGGUUGUCGUCAGCUCGUGUCGUGAGAUGUUGGGUUAAGUCCCGCAACGAGCGCAACCCUUACUGUUAGUUGCUACGCAAGAGCACUCUAGCAGGACUGCCGUUGACAAAACGGAGGAAGGUGGGGAUGACGUCAAAUCAUCAUGCCCCUUAUGACCUGGGCCUCACACGUACUACAAUGGCUGUCAACAGAGGGAAGCAAAGCCGCGAGGUGGAGCAAACCCCUAAAAGCAGUCUUAGUUCGGAUUGUAGGCUGCAACCCGCCUACAUGAAGUCGGAAUUGCUAGUAAUCGCAGAUCAGCAUGCUGCGGUGAAUACGUUCCCGGGCCUUGUACACACCGCCCGUCACGCCAUGGGAGUCGGUAACACCCGAAGCCUGUAGUCUAACCGCAAGGAGGACGCAGUCGAAGGUGGGAUUGAUGACUGGGGUG
rnacentral:rRNA from 1 species